rnacentral:rRNA from 1 species
GAUGAGACGUCGAUCUCUGAAGCACUUGGACUGCAUGCCUAGUCGACGCACCGUGGGGUGACGCUCAGUGAUCUUCGCCGUAUACCAUGUCGGACCGUCGAGAGCGCCGCCCACUCUGUCACGACCAAGUGACCCACGCUUCGAGCGUUUCCGGAUUUACUAGCGCUUAGUAGGUCGUCUGCGGCCGGUCUAAUUGGACCGAUAGUCCCGCGCGUUUGCCGGGCCCCCCCUAAUUCCAUGAGAGUUUCACUGUCGGCCCUGGAUGGCCCGGCACUGCACGUUGUUCGUGUUCGAGUCGCGAGCGAUUCGCGAGUAGAUAGUGUCGCCUCACCGCGGUGCUCUCAUGUUUUUAACAUAGAAAAAAGGGGUUUAUCACUCAGGACGAACGCUGGCGGCGUGCUUAACACAUGCAAGUCGAACGAUGAACCCACUUCGGUGGGGGAUUAGUGGCGAACGGGUGAGUAACACGUGGGCAAUCUGCCCUGCACUCUGGGACAAGCCCUGGAAACGGGGUCUAAUACCGGAUACGACCACUUCAGGCAUCUGAUGGUGGUGGAAAGCUCCGGCGGUGCAGGAUGAGCCCGCGGCCUAUCAGCUAGUUGGUGAGGUAACGGCUCACCAAGGCGACGACGGGUAGCCGGCCUGAGAGGGCGACCGGCCACACUGGGACUGAGACACGGCCCAGACUCCUACGGGAGGCAGCAGUGGGGAAUAUUGCACAAUGGGCGAAAGCCUGAUGCAGCGACGCCGCGUGAGGGAUGACGGCCUUCGGGUUGUAAACCUCUUUCAGCAGGGAAGAAGCGAAAGUGACGGUACCUGCAGAAGAAGCGCCGGCUAACUACGUGCCAGCAGCCGCGGUAAUACGUAGGGCGCAAGCGUUGUCCGGAAUUAUUGGGCGUAAAGAGCUCGUAGGCGGCCUGUCACGUCGGAUGUGAAAGCCCGGGGCUUAACCCCGGGUCUGCAUUCGAUACGGGCAGGCUAGAGUUCGGUAGGGGAGAUCGGAAUUCCUGGUGUAGCGGUGAAAUGCGCAGAUAUCAGGAGGAACACCGGUGGCGAAGGCGGAUCUCUGGGCCGAUACUGACGCUGAGAGCGAAAUUUU